rnacentral:rRNA from 1 species
GACAGAGGUGCCGAGCGUUAGGCGGAAUCACUGGGCUUAAAGCGUGUGUAGGCGGAUGGGUAAGUACCUUGUGAAAUCCCACGGCUCAACCGUGGAACUGCUCGGUAUACUGCUCGUCUUGAGCCAACUAGGGGCGACCGGAACAAACGGUGGAGCGGUGAAAUGCGUAGAUAUCGUCUGGAACGCCGAAGGUGAAAACAGCUCGCUGGGGCUGCGCUGACGCUGAGACACGAAAGCCAGGGGAGCGAACGGG